rnacentral:tRNA from 1 species
UCCCGGAUAGCUCAGGCAGGUAGAGCACGGCAUUUGGCAAUUGCCAAAUGCUAUGGUGUCCCAGGUUCGAAUCCUGGUCCGGGAA